UGGUGCAUGGUUGUCGUCAGCUCGUGUCGUGAGAUGUUGGGUUAAGUCCCGCAACGAGCGCAACCCUCGACCUUAGUUGCCAGCAUUCAGUUGGGCACUCUAAGGUGACUGCCGGCUAAAAGUCGGAGGAAGGUGGGGAUGACGUCAAAUCAUCAUGCCCCUUAUGACCUGGGCUACACACGUGCUACAAUGGGCGGUACAAAGGGUCGCGAACCCGCGAGGGGGAGCCAAUCCCAAAAAGCCGCUCUCAGUUCGGAUUGCAGGCUGCAACUCGCCUGCAUGAAGCCGGGAAUCGCUAGUAAUCGCGGAUCAGCAUGCCGCGGUGAAUACGUUCCCGGGCCUU
rnacentral:rRNA from 1 species